rnacentral:rRNA from 1 species
AGAGGUUUGAUCAUGGCUCAGAUUGAACGCUAGCGGCAUGCUUAACACAUGCAAGUCGAACGGCAGGCAGAGGGAGUUUAUGCUCCCUGGCGGCGAGUGGCGGACAGGUGAGUAAUACGUAGGAAUCUACCUUAUAGAGAGGACAACCCGGGGAAACUCGGGCUAAUACCGCAUGAUCUCUAUGGAGUAAAGCGGGGAUCUUCUGACCUCGCGCUAUAAGAUGAGCCUAUGUGUCGGAUUAGCUUGUUGGUGAGGUAAUUGCCUACCAAGGCGACGAUCCAUGGCGCUGGUCUGAGAGGAUGAUCAGCCACACUGGGACUGAGACGGCCCAGACUCCUACGAGGCAGCAGUGGGGAAUCUUGGACAAUGGGGAAACCCUGAUCCAGCAAUGCCGCGUGUGUGAAGAAGGCCCUCGGAGUUGUAAAGCACUUUCAAGUAGGGAAGAAAUUCUCAAGAGUAAUAUACUUGAGCGUUGACGUUACCUACAGAAGCACUGGCUAACUCUGUGCCAGCAGCCGCGGUAAUACAGAGGUGCGGCGUUAAUCAGAUCACUGGGCGUAAAGAGCGCGUAGGUGGAUAUUUAAGUCGGAUGUGAAAGCCCCUAGGCAACACAGGAACUGCACUCGAUACUGGAUAUCUCGAGUAUGGUAGAGGGGAAGUGGAAUUUUCAGUGUAGCGGUAGAGGAAAUGCGUAGAUAUCAGGAAGGCACAGUGGCGAAGGCGGCUUCCUGGACCAAUACUGACACUGAGGUGCGAAAGCGUAGAGGGAGCAAACAGGAUUAGAGACCGGAUCAGUCCACGCCGUCAGCGAUGACCAGCUGUUGGAGGUUUACUUUCUAGUAGCGAAGCUAACGCGUUAAGUUCUCCGCCUGGGGAGUACGGCCGCAAGGUUAAAACUGAAAAAAUUGACGAAAGUUGCUGGCAGUGGAGCAUGGUUUAAUUCGAUGCAACGCGAAAAACCUUACCUACCCUUGACAUCCUCAGAACUUGUCAGAAAUGACUUGGUGCCUUCGGGAACUGAGUGACGGGUGCUGCAUGGCUGUCGUCAGCUCGUGUGUGCUGAUGUUGGGUUAAGUCCCGUAACGAGCGCAACCCUCGUCCUUAGUUGCCAGCGGUUCGGUCAGGGAACUCAAGGAGACUGCCGGUGAUAAACCGGAGGAAGGUGGGGAUGAUGUCAAGUCAUCAUAGCUUCCCUUACGGGUAGGACACACGUGCUACAAUGGGCAGUACAAAGAGUUUGCCAAACCAUAAGGUGGAGCCAAUCCCAAAAAACUGCUCUUAGUCCAGUUGAAGUCUGCAACUCGACUUCAUGAAGCUGGAAUCGCUAGUAAUCGCGAAUCAGAAUGUCGCGGUGAAUACGUUCUCGGGCCUUGUACACACCGCCCGUCACACCAUGGAGUGAAUUGUACCAGAAGCGGAGUAGGCUAGCAGCACAGGUGGGGGCCUGCCACGGUGUGGUUCAUGA